ACCUACGGGUGGCUGCAGUAGGGAAUAUUGCGCAAUGGGCGAAAGCCUGACGCAGCGACGCCGCGUGCGGGAUGACGGCCUUCGGGUUGUAAACCGCUUUUGGCAGGGACGAAGCGAAAGUGACGGUACCUGCAGAAUAAGCCCCGGCCAACUACGUGCCAGCAGCCGCGGUAAUACGUAGGGGGCGAGCGUUGUCCGGAUUCAUUGGGCGUAAAGAGCUCGUAGGCGGUUCGAUAAGUCGGCGGUGAAAGUCCGGGACCUAACUCCGGAAGGUCCGUCGAUACUGUCGAACUUGAGUCUGGUAGGGGAGUGCGGAAUUCCUGGUGUAGCGGUGAAAUGCGCAGAUAUCAGGAGGAACACCGGUGGCGAAGGCGGCACUCUGGGCCAGUACUGACGCUGAGGAGCGAAAGCUAGGGGAGCAAACAGGAUUAGAUACCCUGGUAGUCGCA
rnacentral:rRNA from 1 species